UACGUAGGGGGCAAGCGUUGUCCGGAUUUACUGGGCGUAAAGAGCGUGUAGGCGGCCACGCAGGUCCGUUGUGAAAACUGGAGGCUCAACCUCCAGCUGUCGACGGAAACCGUGUGGCUAGAGUCCGGAAGAGGAGAGUGGAAUUCCUGGUGUAGCGGUGAAAUGCGCAGAUAUCAGGAAGAACACCCGUGGCGAAGGCGGUUCUCUGGGACGGUACUGACGCUGAGACGCGAAAGCGUGGGGAGCGAACAGG
rnacentral:rRNA from 1 species